CGUAGGUGACCUGCGGAGGAUCAUUAUUGAAAUAAACCUGAUGAGUUGUUGCUGGUUCUCUAGGGAGCAUGUGCACACUUGUCAUCUUUAUAUCUCCACCUGUGCACCCUUUGUAGACCUGAAUAUCUCUCUGAAUGCUAGCAUUCAGGCUUGAGGAUUGACUUCUURGUCUCUCCUGUUAUUUUCAGGCCUAUGUUUCUUCAUAUACCCAUGUAUGUUAUAGAAUGUAAUAAACGGGCCUUUGUGCCUAUAAAUCUAUACAACUUUCAGCAACGGAUCUCUUGGCUCUCGCAUCGAUGAAGAACGCAGCGAAAUGCGAUAAGUAAUGUGAAUUGCAGAAUUCAGUGAAUCAUCGAAUCUUUGAACGCACCUUGCACUCCUUGGUAUUCCGAGGAGUAUGCCUGUUUGAGUGUCAUUAAUAUAUCAACCUCUUUAGCUUUUGCUUUAGAGUGUUGGAUGUGGGGGGUCAUUUUUGCUGGCUUUUCUCAAGUCAGCUCCCCUGAAAUGCAUUAGUGGAACAAAUUGUUGACCGUUUAUUGGUGUGAUAACUAUCUACGCUAUUAACGUGAAGCAAGUUCAGCUUCUAACAGUCCAUUGACUUGGAUAAAUUUCAUUAAUGUGACCUCAAAUCAGGUAGACAGCCAU
rnacentral:rRNA from 1 species